UACAGAGGGUGCGAGCGUUGUUCGGAAUUAUUGGGCGUAAAGGGCGCGUAGGCGGUGCGGUAAGUCACCUGUGAAAUCUCCCUGGCUCAACUGGGAGCUUGCAGGCGAAACUGCCGUGCUGGAGUGUGGGAGAGGUGCGUGGAAUUCCCCGGUGUAGCGGUGAAAUGCGUAGAUAUCGGGAGGAACACCUGUGGCGAAAGCGGCGCACUGGACCACAACUGACGCUGAGGCGCGAAAGCUAGGGGAGCAAACAGG
rnacentral:rRNA from 1 species